GACACCAUGACUUUCAUUACCAUCUUCAUCUGGACACUGUUGUGCUGUGUUAAAGAGUCCAGAGGACAAGUGACUGUGACUCAGACUCCUGAAGUGAAAUCAGCUCUUUCAGGAGACACAGUCACUAUCAAUUGUAAAACCAGUCCUGCAGUGUACACUGAUAGCAAUGGUCACCGCCUGCACUGGUACCAACAGAAACCUGGACAGACUCCUAAACUCCUCAUUAAAUAUGCUAACCAGUUACAGUCAGGAAUUCCAAAUCGUUUCAGUGGCAGUGGAUCUGGCACUGACUUCACUCUGACCAUCAGAGGAGUCCAGACUGAAGAUGCAGGAAAUUAUUACUGUCAGAGUCAACAUUACAUCAGUAAUAACUGGGUGUUCACACAGUGA